CGCUCUUCCGAUCUCUCAGAUUGAACGCUGGCGGAAUGCUUUACACAUGCAAGUCGAACGGCAGCAUAGAGAGCUUGCUCUCUGAUGGCGAGUGGCGAACGGGUGAGUAAUAUAUCGGAACGUGCCUAGUAAUGGGGAAUAACUAGCUGAAAGGUUAGCUAAUGCCGCAUACGACCUACGGGUGAAAGCAGGGGAUCUUCGGACCUUGCGUUAUUAGAGCGGCCGAUAUCUGAUUAGCUUGUUGGUGGGGUAAUGGCCUACCAAGGCGACGAUCAGUAGCUGGUCUGAGAGGACGAUCAGCCACACUGGAACUGAGACACGGUCCAGACUCCUACGGGAGGCAGCAGUGGGGAAUUUUGGACAAUGGGGGCAACCCUGAUCCAGCCAUUCCGCGUGAGUGAAGAAGGCCUUCGGGUUGUAAAGCUCUUUCGCAAGAGAAGAAAACUUACUAUCUAAUAAAUAGUAAGUAUGACGGUAUCUUGACAAGAAGCACCGGCUAACUACGUGCCAGCAGCCGCGGUAAUACGUAGGGUGCAAGCGUUAAUCGGAAUUACUGGGCGUAAAGCGUGCGCAGGCAGUUUUAUAAGUCAGAUGUGAAAUCCCCGAGCUCAACUUGGGAACUGCGUUUGAAACUGUAAGACUAGAGUGUGUCAGAGGGGGGUAGAAUUCCAAGUGUAGCAGUGAAAUGCGUAGAGAUUUGGAGGAAUACCAAUGGCGAAGGCAGCCCCCUGGGAUAACACUGACGCUCAUGCACGAAAGCGUGGGGAGCAAACAGGAUUAGAUACCCUGGUAGUCCACGCCCUAAACGAUGUCUACUAGUUGUUGGUGGAGUAAAAUCCAUGAGUAACGCAGCUAACGCGUGAAGUAGACCGCCUGGGGAGUACGGUCGCAAGAUUAAAACUCAAAUGAAUUGACGGGGGCCCGCACAAGCGGUGGAGCAUGUGGUUUA
rnacentral:rRNA from 1 species